UGGGGCCGUAGAGUCGCGCGGGAUCCGAAAGAAGUCUGCUUCUCCGGGUUUUACUAGCAGCUUGAGGAAGAGUAAGGAAAGUGCUGGGGAGGCUGUCAACGACAGCCAGUCGGCUUCAGGCAGCUUGAUGUAGUGGGAAGAAUACAAGAUUCUGGAAUUAGGAAAACUGGGCAUGAGUCCCAGACUCUGCGCUGCCAGCUGUGUGACCUUGGAGAGGACCUCCAAUAUGAGAGAUGCUGCGCUAGACAUGACUCGGUCCACACAUCCUAUGGAAGAGUAUCAGUUAAUAUUGUCCAGCAGCUCAAGAACCAGGAGGUUGACUGUCAUCGGUGCAGAGGUUGAAUGGGUCAAGCAUUGAGCCACCGUGGCCCGAGGCAGCACCAACACUUGUGAACAAGGUGGAGAGCAUCCCUAGAAGCUCUGGGUCUUGCCUCUGGAUGGAGGAUUAAAUUGCCCUGGGAAGUGAAGUGCCCAGGGAUGGGCAAACUGCUAUAGGGCACAGCUCCCUGCACUUCUAUGAUUUGUAUUUGAGCAACACAAACGCUGAACUUGAAGAUGAAAAGACAAAAAAAAUUGCCAUUAUUAUUAUCAUUAUCAUUUAUAGGAUUUAUGAGAGCUGUUAAGUUUUGAAACUUGAGAAUAAAUAAAACACAAGUGUAAUGUUAUUUUUUCAAGGUCAUUCUAUUACUAUAUGGAACAAAUUAGAGGCAUCAAACACUAUUGAACUUCUACUCCCCCAGAUUUUAAGGACCAGAAAAGAUGGACUAAAUUUAUCCUCAUUCAGCCUUGCAAAUAAAAACCAACUGUGCACCAGCACUUAAAGUACAUACAUUUGGUUUUCACAAAGAUAAUUCAAAUACAUAAAACUGGCAUUUCUCACUUUGUUUUUUUCUAUUCUAACAAUGGCUGGCUUUUAACUAUAACACAAACACACACUCACACACACACAUUACAUGUAUACAUUUUAAAAUCAAGAAUUACUUUGCCAAAUACUUUGAGUAAAGUUACUGGGAACCAAUGUUAUUUUUUCCUUUCAAUAAAUCCCUAGUUUGAAGUUUGGUUGGAUGAAGCAAGUUACAAGUUCAAGUUCAAACGUUAUCAUUAUAUCUCAAUAGCAAACUAAUUCUAAAAUUAUUCCAUAUGUAAAACAUGAUUAUAACCAGUCACUGGGGUAGCACUUAGAAGAUGAGUCUUCCUUCACCUGUAAUUUUGCUCCAUUUGUAGAUGAAGAUGGACAGCAGAUGAAAGGAUUCAAGCCUGGCAACUCCCCGAAGGGCUUAAUGACACUCGUUAUCAUCGGCAAUGAAAAUCCCAGACAUAUUUCCUUUAUGGGAAGAUGAUGAGGAGGUGUAUGCACUAAAUUGUAAUACUUCUUCCUCUUUUAUUUCUGAAAGCCAUGACCUUCCUAUGGGUGUACUUAAAAGAAAGCCAAAGUCAGAAAUGGGUUAUUGCCUCCUGCUCUUAAUAACAGUAGAAAAAUGUGCUCCUACAUGUAAUUUGGAAAGUAAUUUCCUGAAAAGAAUUUAAAUAGGACUCUAAUAAUAAGCUUGUGUAACCUUGUGUAAACUCUUCUCAAACCUGACUUACAGCUUCAUUUUUUUUUCCCACCUUCAUGGGAGUUAAUGCAUCUCUGAGGUUCUGCUGUAGAUUUAUUCCUGAGAAGUAGAAUUGAAAUAUUGUGAAAUAAAAUCCAAACCAGUGUAUUUUGAAACCAGGCUACUAUUUGAAAGUUUUUUUUCUCUCCUAAAGUAACGGAAGAAUAAAUUAAUAAAAUGAAGUG